GACGAACGCUGGCGGCGUGCUUAACACAUGCAAGUCGAACGGAAAGGCCCUGCUUUUGUGGGGUGCUCGAGUGGCGAACGGGUGAGUAACACGUGAGUAACCUGCCCUUGACUUUGGGAUAACUUCAGGAAACUGGGGCUAAUACCGGAUAGGAGCUCCUGCUGCAUGUUGUGGGUUGGAAAGUUUCGGCGGUUGGGGAUGGACUCGCGGCUUAUCAGCUUGUUGGUGGGGUAGUGUCUUACCAAGGCUUUGACGGGUAGCCGGCCUGAGAGGGUGACCGGCCACAUUGGGACUGAGAUACGGCCCAGACUCCUACGGGAGGCAGCAGUGGGGAAUAUUGCACAAUGGGCGGAAGCCUGAUGCAGCAACGCCGCGUGCGGGAUGACGGCCUUCGGGUUGUAAACCGCUUUCGCCUGUGACGAAGCGUGAGUGACGGUAAUGGGUAAAGAAGCACCGGCUAACUACGUG
rnacentral:rRNA from 1 species